rnacentral:misc_RNA from 1 species
GAAAUGUGAUAAGUAAUGUGAAUUGCAGAAUUCAGUGAAUCAUCGAAUCUUUGAACACACCUUGCGCUCCUUGGUAUUCCUUGGAGCAUGCCUGUUUGAGUAUCAUGAAAUCUUCAAAGUAAAUCUUUUGUUAACUCAAUUGGUUUCUACUUUGGUAUUGGAGGUCUUUGCAGCUUCACACCUGCUCCUCUUUGUUCAUUAGCUGGAUCUCAGUGUUAUGCUUGGUUCCACUCGGCGUGAUAAGUUAUCUAUCGCUGAGGACACUGUAAAAGGUGGCCAAGGUAAAUGCAGAUGAACCGCUUCUAAUAGUCCAUUGACUUGGACAAUACUUUUAUGAUCUGAUCUCAAAUCAGGUAGGACUACCCGCUGAACUUAAGC